GGUGUUCGAGUGGCGAACGGGUGAGUAACACGUGAGUAACCUGCCCUUGACUUUGGGAUAACUUCAGGAAACUGGGGCUAAUACCGGAUAGGAGCUCCUGCUGCAUGGUGGGGGUUGGAAAGUUUCGGCGGUUGGGGAUGGACUCGCGGCUUAUCAGCUUGUUGGUGGGGUAGUGGCUUACCAAGGCUUUGACGGGUAGCCGGCCUGAGAGGGUGACCGGCCACAUUGGGACUGAGAUACGGCCCAG
rnacentral:rRNA from 1 species